UCAUGGAGUCCCUGGCUCCCACUUGGGGUGCGUGUCUCUCCACCCAGGGGCACCCCAAAGCAGCAAGAAGCACCCCCGCUGGAUGGGGACAGGUGGACAAGCUUUCAGGGGGAGGUUGAGGCAGGCCUGGGAAAAAAGGCCAAACUGAGGUUGCGGAGGAAACCACCACCAUGAAAUUUAGAGAGAGGGGCCAAUUCAUGGAGUUGCAGCAGAGAUUUUGCUUACCUGGAGCAGAAGCUGCUGAAAUCAUACAAAGAUAGAAACAUACUGAAUUAGUCCAUUUUUACGAGGCUAAUAAAGACAUACCUGAGACUGGGUAAUUUAUAAA